UCAUCGAUGAAGAACGCAGCGAACUGCGAUACGUAAUGCGAAUUGCAGGAUUCAGUGAGUCAUCGAAAUUUUGAACGCAUAUUGCACUUCCGGGUUAGUCCUGGGAGUAUGCCUGUAUCAGUGUCCGUACAUCAAACUUGGCUUUCUUCCUUCCGUGUAGUCGGUGGAGGAUGUGCCAGAUGUGAAGUGUCUUGCGGUUUGUGUGCCUUCGGGCCGAGGCUGCGAGUCCUUUGAAAUGUACUGAACUGUACUUCUCUUUGCUCGAAAAGCGUGGUGAUGCUGGUUGUGGAGGCUGCCUGCGUUGGCCAGUCGGCGACCGGUUUGUCUGCUGCGGCGUUUAAUGGAGGAGUGUUCGAUUCGCGGUAUGGUUGGCUUCGGCUGAACAGACGCUUAUUGUAUGCUUUUCCUGCUGUGGCGUGAUGGGCUGGUGAACCGUAUGCUGUGUGUGGCUUGGCUUUUGAAUCGGCUUUGCUGUUGCGAAGUAGAGUGGCGGCUUCGGCUGUCGAGUGUCGAUCCAUUUUGGGAACUUUUGUGUGCGCUUUCGAGUGUGCAUCUCAAUUGGACCUGAUAUCAGGCAAGAUUACCCGCUGAACUUAAGCAUAUCAAUAAGCGGAGGA
rnacentral:rRNA from 1 species